rnacentral:tRNA from 1 species
UUUAAAAUGGCAGAUUAGUGCAAUAUAUUUAAAAUAUAUACAUAUAAUAAUAAAUUAUUUUUAAAA